rnacentral:ncRNA from 1 species
CCUCAACUUGAUUGAAGUUCUUGUGUUGAUUGAAAUCAGUACCCGAAGCUCUGGCUGGAGGGUCAGUUUAAAUGGAAUAAGUUGGAUCCGGAAUGACCGAGGAGGUGUGGUCCAUUUUCUCUAGACCCGCUCAGGGGACAGUGCCAGGUGGGGAGUUUGACUGGGAUGGUACAUCUGUCAAACGGUAAUGCAGGUGUCCUAAGGCAAGCUCAGGGAGGACAGAAACCUCCCGUGGAGCGGAAGGGCAAAAAAGCUCACUUUUUCAGUACAAAUUUUCAGUACAAAUACAGACCAUGAAAGCAGAGCCUCACAAUCCUUCUGACCUUUUGGGUUUUAAGCAGGAGGUGUCAGAAAGGUUACCACAGGGAUAACUGGCUUGUGGUGGCCAAGUGUUCAUAGCGGAAGUCCCAUCAGGUUGCCUAAG